rnacentral:rRNA from 1 species
AGUGGGGAAUCUUAGACAAUGGGGGAAACCCUGAUCUAGCCAUGCCGCGUGAGCGAUGAAGGCCUUAGGGUUGUAAAGCUCUUUCAGUGGGGAAGAUAAUGACGGUACCCACAGAAGAAGCCCCGGCUAACUCCGUGCCAGCAGCCGCGGUAAUACGGAGGGGGCUAGCGUUGUUCGGAAUUACUGGGCGUAAAGCGCACGUAGGCGGACUGGAAAGUCAGGAGUGAAAUCCCGGGGCUCAACCCCGGAACUGCCUUUGAAACUCCCAGUCUUGAGGUCGAGAGAGGUGAGUGGAAUUCCAAGUGUAGAGGUGAAAUUCGUAGAUAUUCGGAGGAACACCAGUGGCGAAGGCGGCUCACUGGCUCGAUACUGACGCUGAGGUGCGAAAGCGUGGGGAGCAAA